rnacentral:rRNA from 1 species
GACGUAGGGCGCGAGCGUUGUCCGGAUUUAUUGGGCGUAAAGAGCUCGUAGGCGGUCCGUCACGUCGGGAGUGAAAACUCGGAGCUCAACUCCGAGCCUGCUUCCGAUACGGGCAGACUAGAGGUAGGCAGGGGAGAGCGGAACUCCUGGUGUAGCGGUGGAAUGCGCAGAUAUCAGGAGGAACACCGAUAGCGAAGGCAGCUCGCUGGGACGGUACUGACGCUAAGGCGCGAAAGCGUGGGGAGCGAACAGG